rnacentral:tRNA from 1 species
GUCUUCGUGGUGUAAUGGUCAGCACACUCGGUGCGUAUUCGAGAGGUCCAGGUUCGAGUCCCGGGGAGGGCA